AUUAUUUUUCAGCUGAAUAAAUUCUGCUUCUGAUCUAGAAUCAAGCGCCUGUGGCGAGAUGUCUGGACCAGCGUGACACACCUUUACUAUGAAGCUCUUCACAGUCUUGAGGAAGAUGGCCUGUUGCAUCUGGCAGAUGCUGUUCAUCUGUUUUGUGCCCACUGUCUUCCUUCCGUGUCUGGCAGACGCCCUUCACACCGUCACAGAAGGCUGGGACAACCAUACUUUAGGGACUGAAGGUGGACUCUCCCCAAACCAGCUCUGGGUUUUGGGUCACAUGAAGAUUUGCAGAGCAUGGAACUAUUUGGAACUGACUGGGAGAUGUUUGAUGCUGUGCAUGAGGAACCAUAUGGAGUUCAAGUCCAGGAAAUUGAGUGCCCCCUGAAUCCGUACAUUCUGGAAAGUGUACAGUCCAUGAUAAAUCCCUUGGCAUCAUUAGAAUCAUUUGGCUGAUACAUUUACAUAACAAGGGUUCAAUGUCUUGAAAGUCUAAGUGCAACACAAGAAAUGCCUGAGAUGUAACAAGACUUUAAUAUGAGACAGGAGUCGCAAACAUUUUUAUUGAAAAACAUUUUGGACUUUCCCAUGAAAUUUCCAUUACAUUCAUCAGAGUUAAAUUUGUGAAAACCAAAAAUUACCGUGGGUACCCUGAAGAGUAACAUGGAGCAAAAACUAACUUUGGAGUAAACCAUUAUUAA